AGAGUUUGAUCCUGGCUCAGAUUGAACGCUGGCGGAAUGCUUUACACAUGCAAGUCGAGCGGCAGCGCGGGGCAACCUGGCGGCGAGCGGCGAACGGGUGAGUAAUGCAUCGGAACAUGUCCAUGUCGUGGGGGAUAGCCCGGCGAAAGCCGGAUUAAUACCGCAUACGCCCGAGAGGGGAAAGUGGGGGACCGCAAGGCCUCACGCGAUUGGGUUGGCCGAUGUCCGAUUAGCUAGUUGGCGGGGUAAGAGCCCACCAAGGCGAUGAUCGGUAGCUGGUCUGAGAGGAUGAUCAGCCACACUGGGACUGAGACACGGCCCAGACUCCUACGGGAGGCAGCAGUGGGGAAUUUUGGACAAUGGGGGCAACCCUGAUCCAGCCAUUCCGCGUGAGUGAAGAAGGCCUUCGGGUUGUAAAGCUCUUUUGUCCGGAGCGAAAAGGUUACGGUGAAUAUCCGUGACUACUGACGGUACCGGAAGAAUAAGCACCGGCUAACUACGUGCCAGCAGCCGCGGUAAUACGUAGGGUGCGAGCGUUAAUCGGAAUUACUGGGCGUAAAGCGUGCGCAGGCGGUUUUGUAAGCCAGAUGUGAAAUCCCCGGGCUCAACCUGGGAAUGGCAUUUGGGACUGCAAGGCUGGAGUGUGGCAGAGGAGACUGGAAUUCCUGGUGUAGCAGUGAAAUGCGUAGAUAUCAGGAGGAAUACCGAUGGCGAAGGCAGGUCUCUGGGCUGACACUGGCGCUCAUGCACGAAAGCGUGGGGAGCAAACAGGAUUAGAUACCCUGGUAGUCCACGCCCUAAACGAUGUCGACUGGUUGUUGGGGGUUUGACACUCUCAGUAACGAAGCUAACGCGUGAAGUCGACCGCCUGGGGAGUACGGCCGCAAGGUUAAAACUCAAAGGAAUUGACGG
rnacentral:rRNA from 1 species